UGCGUAGGCGGACUAAUAAGUCAGUGGUGAAAUCUUUCGGCUCAACCGAGAAACUGCCAUUGAUACUGUUAGUCUUGAGUUCGGUUGAGGUAGGCGGAAUGUGUAAUGUAGCGGUGAAAUGCUUAGAUAUUACACAGAACACCAAUUGCGUAGGCAGCUUACUAGACCGACACUGACGCUGAGGCACGAAAGCGUGGGGAGCGAACAGGAUUAGAUACCCGAGUAGUCC
rnacentral:rRNA from 1 species